AAAACAAUCCUACGGGAGGCAGCAGUGGGGAAUAUUGGACAAUGGGCGCAAGCCUGAUCCAGCAAUGCCGCGUGUGUGAAGAAGGCCUUCGGGUUGUAAAGCACUUUAAGCAGGGAAGAAAACGCUCAAGCUAAUAUCUUGAGUCUUGACGGUACCUGAAGAAUAAGCACCGGCUAACUCUGUGCCAGCAGCCGCGGUAAUACAGAGGGUGCGAGCGUUAAUCGGAUUUACUGGGCGUAAAGCGUGUGUAGGUGGUUGUGCAAGUCGGUUGUGAAAUCCCUGGGCUCAACCUGGGAACUGCUUCCGAGACUGCUCGACUAGAGUACGGUAGAGGGCGGUG
rnacentral:rRNA from 1 species